UGCUGAGAAGAAACACUAUGGCCAAAGCAACUAGGAAAGGAAAAGUUUUAUUUGCCAUAUCCUUCCAAAUAACAGUCCAUCAGUGAAGGAAGGAAGUGAGGACAGUAAUUCAAACAGGGCAGGAAGCUCCAGGCAAGAGACGAUGCAGAGGCCACGGAAGAGUGCUUCUUACUGACUUGUUCGACAUGGCUUUCUCAGCCUUACUUCUUUUUGAACCAUCAGCCCAGGACUCUAGCUUGGGGCAAGCUGACAUAAAACUAACCAGUACAAUAACUGUGCAGGAAAACAUGAAUAUAGCAAUUAUAACAACAAGAACAAGAGCAACAAGAACAAG